rnacentral:rRNA from 1 species
GGCCAAGUUUUUAAGGGCGCACGGUGGAUGCCUUGGCACCAGGAACCGAUGAAGGACGUGGGAGGCCACGAUAGUCCCCGGGGAGUCGUCAACCAGGCUUUGAUCCGGGGGUUUCCGAAUGGGGAAACCCGGCAGUCGUCAUGGGCUGUCACCCGCUGCUGAACACAUAGGCAGUGUGGAGGGAACGCGGGGAAGUGAAACAUCUCAGUACCCGCAGGAAGAGAAAACAACCGUGAUUCCGGGAGUAGUGGCGAGCGAAACCGGAUGAGGCCAAACCGUAUGCGUGUGAGACCCGGCAGGGGUUGCGUAUACGGGGUUGUGGGAUCUCUCUUUCAUGGUCUGCCGGCCAUGAGACGAGUCAGAAACCGUUGAUGUAGGCGAAGGACAUGCGAAAGGUCCGGCGUAGAGGGUAAGACCCCCGUAGUCGAAACGUCAGCGGCUCGUUUGAGAGACACCCAAGUAGCACGGGGCCCGAGAAAUCCCGUGUGAAUCUGGCGGGACCACCCGCUAAGCCUAAAUAUUCCCUGGUGACCGAUAGCGGAUAGUACCGUGAGGGAAUGGUGAAAAGUACCGCGGGAGCGGAGUGAAAUAGUACCUGAAACCGUGUGCCUACAAGCCGUGGGAGCGUCGGACAUCAAGCUUGCUUGGUGUCUCGUGACUGCGUGCCUUUUGAAGAAUGAGCCUGCGAGUUUGCGGUGUGUUGCGAGGUUAACCCGGGUGGGGAAGCCGUAGCGAAAGCGAGUCCGAAUAGGGCGAUUUUAGUAGCACGCUCAAGACCCGAAGCGGAGUGAUCUAGCCAUGGGCAGGUUGAAGCGGAGGUAAGACUUCGUGGAGGACCGAACCCACCAGGGUUGAAAACCUGGGGGAUGACCUGUGGUUAGGGGUGAAAGGCCAAUCAAACUCCGUGAUAGCUGGUUCUCCCCGAAAUGCAUUUAGGUGCAGCGUCGUGUGUUUCUUGCCGGAGGUAGAGCACUGGAUAGGCGAUGGGCCCUACCGGGUUACUGACCUUAGCCAAACUCCGAAUGCCGGUAAGUGAGAGCGCGGCAGUGAGACUGUGGGGGAUAAGCUCCAUGGUCGAGAGGGAAACAGCCCAGAGCAUCGACUAAGGCCCCUAAGCGUACGCUAAGUGGGAAAGGAUGUGGAGUCGCACAGACAACCAGGAGGUUGGCUUAGAAGCAGCCACCCUUGAAAGAGUGCGUAAUAGCUCACUGGUCUAGUGAUUCCGCGCCGACAAUGUAGCGGGGCUCAAGCGUACCGCCGAAGUCGUGUCAUUGCAGCAUAUACGGCCAACGCCGGCUGUGAUGGGUAGGGGAGCGUCGUCUGCCGGGUGAAGCAGCACCGGAAGGUAGUUGUGGACGGUUGACGAGUGAGAAUGCAGGCAUGAGUAGCGAUUCACACGUGAGAAACGUGUGCGCCGAUUGACUAAGGGUUCCUGGGUCAAGCUGAUCUGCCCAGGGUAAGUCGGGACCUAAGGCGAGGCCGACAGGCGUAGUCGAUGGAUAACCGGUUGAUAUUCCGGUACCCGCUGUGAAGCGUCAAACAUCGAGCAUCGUGAUGCUAAGGCCGUGAAGCCGCCCCUGAUCUCUUCGGAGUGAGGGGGAGUGGUGGAGCCGCCGAACCAAGCGGUUAGUAGGUGAGUGAUGGGGUGACGCAGGAAGGUAGUCCAGCCCGGGCGGUGGUUGUCCCGGGGUAAGGGUGUAGGCCGUGCGGUAGGUAAAUCCGUCGCACACAAGGCUGAGACCUGAUGCCGAGCCGAUUGUGGUGAAGUGGAUGAUCCUAUGCUGUCGAGAAAAGCCUCUAGCGAGUUUCAUGGCGGCCCGUACCCUAAACCGACUCAGGUGGUCAGGUAGAGAAUACCGAGGCGUUCGGGUGAACUAUGGUUAAGGAACUCGGCAAAAUGCCCCCGUAACUUCGGGAGAAGGGGGGCCACAUCCGGUGAUGAGCUUUGCGCUCUGAGCUGGGGGUGGCCGCAGAGACCAGCGAGAAGCGACUGUUUACUAAAAACACAGGUCCGUGCGAAGCCGUAAGGCGAUGUAUACGGACUGACGCCUGCCCGGUGCUGGAACGUUAAGGGGACCGGUUAGUCACUCUUCGGGGUGGCGAAGCUGAGAACUUAAGCGCCAGUAAACGGCGGUGGUAACUAUAACCAUCCUAAGGUAGCGAAAUUCCUUGUCGGGUAAGUUCCGACCUGCACGAAUGGCGUAACGACUUCUCGACUGUCUCAACCAUAGGCCCGGUGAAAUUGCACUACGAGUAAAGAUGCUCGUUUCGCGCAGCAGGACGGAAAGACCCCGGGACCUUUACUACAGUUUGAUAUUGGUGUUCGGUUCGGCUUGUGUAGGAUAGCUGGGAGACUGUGAAGCGCUAACGCCAGUUAGUGUGGAGUCGUCGUUGAAAUACCAGUCUGGUCGUGCUGGAUGUCUAACCUGGGUCCGUGAUCCGGAUCAGGGACAGUGUCUGAUGGGUAGUUUAACUGGGGCGGUUGCCUCCUAAAGAGUAACGGAGGCGCCCAAAGGUUCCCUCAGCCUGGUUGGCAAUCAGGUGUUGAGUGUAAGUGCACAAGGGAGCUUGACUGUGAGACCGACGGGUCGAGCAGGGACGAAAGUCGGGACUAGUGAUCCGGCGGUGGCUUGUGGAAGCGCCGUCGCUCAACGGAUAAAAGGUACCCCGGGGAUAACAGGCUGAUCUUCCCCAAGAGUCCAUAUCGACGGGAUGGUUUGGCACCUCGAUGUCGGCUCGUCGCAUCCUGGGGCUGGAGUCGGUCCCAAGGGUUGGGCUGUUCGCCCAUUAAAGCGGUACGCGAGCUGGGUUUAGAACGUCGUGAGACAGUUCGGUCCCUAUCCGCUGUGCGCGUAGGAGUCUUGAGAAGGGCUGUCCCUAGUACGAGAGGACCGGGACGGACGAACCUCUGGUGUGCCAGUUGUUCUGCCAAGGGCAUGGCUGGUUGGCUACGUUCGGGAGGGAUAACCGCUGAAAGCAUCUAAGCGGGAAGCCUGCUUCGAGAUGAGGACUCCCACCUCCUAGAGAGGGUAAGGCUCCCAGUAGACGACUGGGUUGAUAGGCCGGAUAUGGAAGCACGGUAACGUGUGGAGUUGACCGGUACUAAUAGGCCGAGGGCUUGUCCUC